GGGUGUAUAGCUCAGUGGCAGAGUGGGUGCUUAGCGUGCUCAAGGUCCUGGGUUCAAUCCUCAGUACCGCCA
rnacentral:tRNA from 1 species